AAAAAAAAUGAGUAUCAAUCCCUUUAGUUCAAUUCCCCUCUGAAUUGCUGUGCAACUCUUUGAAAACAAAUUCCUUCAUCUUGCCCUACUCCAAUGAGGCUCUAACCUCAUUAUCAUGCUUUGUAGGCGUGGCCCCCUGAUGCUAAAGGUCUCAUGGAAGAGAUUGCAACCUCUGUGACUAAAGUUAGGAAUGUUAUGUAAUGCAUUAAAAAUGAAAACCUUUUCCCGACAGGGAUCAAUAUUUUAUAUAAACAUUAAAAUAGGUGUGGUUUUACUGCUUUCCACUGCUUUAGUAGUACAAUAGAUCCACAAGCAUCACAGAGAAAGAAUCAUAGAAUCACAGAAUCAUGGAAUCAUAGAAUCAUAGAAUGGCCUGGGUUGAAAAGGACCACAAUGAUCAUCGAGUUUCAACUCCCCUGCUAUGUGCAGGGUCGCCAACCACCAGACCAGGUUGCCCAGAGCCACAUCCAGCCUGGCCUGGAAUGCCUCCAGGGAUGGGGCAUGCCUCCUGGGACAACCUGUUCCAGUUCAUCACCAUCCUUUGUGUGAGUUCAGAACCAGUGGAGAUGACAAUGUGCAAUAAUAAUGCACAGACUGCAAAGACAAUUUUCUUUGUAGGAUACCUGAAGAAAGUGUUGGUUACUUGGUCACUAAAUAUGUCCUAGAAGUCAAAAUUAAUUUAAAUACUGUGUUAGAU
ensembl:lncRNA